CCUACGGGAGGCAGCAGUGAGGAAUAUUGGUCAAUGGACGGAAGUCUGAACCAGCCAUGCCGCGUGCAGGAUGACGGCCCUAUGAGUUGUAAACUGCUUUUGUACAAGGGUAAACCUGAAUACGUGUAUUUAGCUGUAUGUACUUUACGAAUAAGGAUCGGCUAACGCCGUGCCAGCAGCCGCUGUAAUACGGAGGAGCCAAGCGUUAUCCGGAUUUAUUGGGUUUAAAGGGUGCGUAGGCGGAUUGAUAAGUUAGUGGUGAAAUGUCCGAGCUUAACUUGGGAACUGCAUUUAAUACUGUUGGUCUAGAGAGUAGGUGAGGUAGGCGGAAUGUAUGGUGUAGCGGUGAAAUGCGUAGAGAUCAUACAGAACACCGAUUGCGAAGGCAGCUUACCAAUCUAUAUCUGACGUUGAGGCACGAAAGCGUGGGGAGCAAACAGGAUUAGAUACCCCGGUAGUC
rnacentral:rRNA from 1 species